CAAUCAAACCGGGAGAUAGCUGGUUCUCCCCGAAAGCUAUUUAGGUAGCGCCUCGUGAAUUCAUCUCCGGGGGUAGAGCACUGUUUCGGCUAGGGGGCCAUCCCGGCUUACCAACCCGAUGCAAACUGCGAAUACCGGAGAAUGUUAUCACGGGAGACACACGGCGGGUGCUAACGUCCGUCGUGAAGAGGGAAACAACCCAGACCGCCAGCUAAGGUCCCAAAGUCAUGGUUAAGUGGGAAACGAUGUGGGAAGGCCCAGACAGCCAGGAUGUUGGCUUAGAAGCAGCCAUCAUUUAAAGAAAGCGUAAUAGCUCACUGGUCGAGUCGGCCUGCGCGGAAGAUGUAACGGGGCUAAACCAUGCACCGAAGCUGCGGCAGCGAACGUAUCACCCAAGACAACUUUACGGAGUUGACGAUUGACGGAGCGAAGCGACGUCAAAGCGUUCAUUAAAGUCGAGUUGGCUUAGGGAUACGUUCGUUGGGUAGGGGAGCGUUCUGUAAGCCUGUGAAGGUGUGUCGUGAGGCAUGCUGGAGGUAUCAGAAGUGCGAAUGCUGACAUAAGUAACGAUAAAGCGGGUGAAAAGCCCGCUCGCCGGAAGACCAAGGGUUCCUGUCCAACGUUAAUCGGGGCAGGGUGAGUCGACCCCUAAGGCGAGGCCGAAAGGCGUAGUCGAUGGGAAACGGGUUAAUAUUCCCGUACUUGGUGUUACUGCGAAGGGGGGACGGAGAAGGCUAUGUUGGCCGGGCGACGGUUGUCCCGGUUUAAGCGUGUAGGUGUGUGUUCCAGGUAAAUCCGGUUCACUUUAACACUGAGGCGUGACGACGAGGCACUACGGUGCUGAAGCAACAAAUGCCCUGCUUCCAGGAAAAGCCUCUAAGCAUCAGGUAACAUCAAAUCGUACCCCAAACCGACACAGGUGGUCAGGUAGAGA
rnacentral:rRNA from 1 species